rnacentral:rRNA from 1 species
UGGGGAAUAUUGCACAAUGGGCGAAAGCCUGAUGCAGCGACGCCGCGUGAGGGAUGACGGCCUUCGGGUUGUAAACCUCUUUCAGCAGGGAAGAAGCGAAAGUGACGGUACCUGCAGAAGAAGCGCCGGCUAACUACGUGCCAGCAGCCGCGGUAAUACGUAGGGCGCAAGCGUUGUCCGGAAUUAUUGGGCGUAAAGAGCUCGUAGGCGGUUAGUCGCGUCUGCUGUGAAAACUCGAGGCUCAACCUCAGGCUUGCAGUGGGUACGGGCUGACUAGAGUGCGGUAGGGGUGACUGGAAUUCCUGGUGUAGCGGUGGAAUGCGCAGAUAUCAGGAGGAACACCGAUGGCGAAGGCAGGUCACUGGGCCGCAACUGACGCUGAGGAGCGAAAGCAUGGGGAGCGAACAGGAUUAGAUACCCUGGUAGUCCAUGCCGUAAACGUUGGGCACUAGGUGUGGGGUCCAUUCCACGGAUUCCGUGCCGCAGCAAACGCAUUAAGUGCCCCGCCUGGGGAGUACGGCCGCAAGCUAAAACUCAAAUGAAUUG